rnacentral:rRNA from 1 species
UACGUAGGGUGCAAGCGUUAAUCGGAAUUACUGGGCGUAAAGCGUGCGCAGGCGGUUUUGUAAGUCUGUCGUGAAAUCCCCGGGCUCAACCUGGGAAUUGCGAUGGAGACUGCAAGGCUAGAAUCUGGCAGAGGGGGGUAGAAUUCCACGUGUAGCGGUAAAAUGUGUAGAUAUAUGGAAGAACACCAAUAACGGCGAAGGCAGUUAACUAUUCUGUUACUGACAUUGAGGCACGAAAGCGUGGGGAGCAAAACGG